AUUGAACGCUGGCGGCAGGCCUAACACAUGCAAGUCGAGCGAGCGGCGGACGGGUGAGUAAUGUCUGGGAAACUGCCUGAUGGAGGGGGAUAACUACUGGAAACGGUAGCUAAUACCGCAUACCAUCAGAUGUGCCCAGAUGGGAUUAGCGAGUAGGGUGGGUAACGGCUCACCUAGGCGACGAUCCCUAGCUGGUCUGAGCGGAUGCCCAGCCACACUGAAACGUGGACAUGGUGCAGACUCCGACGGGAGGCAGCAGUGGGGAAUAUGGCACAAUGGGCGCGAGCCUGAUGCAGCCAUGCCGCGUGUGUGAAGAAGGCCUUCGGGUUGUAAAGCACUUUCAGCGGGGAGGCGUUACCCGCAGAAGAAGCACCGGCUAACUCCGUGCCAGCAGCCGCGGUAAUAC
rnacentral:rRNA from 1 species